rnacentral:rRNA from 1 species
AAUAGAUACCCCGGUAGUCCACGCCGUAAACGAUGGAUACUAGCUGUUGGAGGUAUCGACCCCUUCAGUAGCGAAGCUAACGCGUUAAGUAUCCCGCCUGUGGAGUACGGUCGCAAGACUAAAACAUAAAGGAAUUGACGGGGACCCGCACAAGCGGUGGAUCGUGUUCUUUAAUUCGAUGCUAAACGAAGAACCUUACCAGGGCUUGACAUCCCUUGAAUUACUUCGAAAGAAGUGAGUGCUUUAUUGAACAAGGUGACAGGUGAUGCAUGGCCGUCGUCAGCUCGUGUCGUGAGAUGUUUGGUUAAGUCCAUCAACGAGCGCAACCCUUGCAACUAGUUGUAUUUUUCUAGUUGGACUGCCCCGGUAACGGGGAGGAAGGAGGGGAUGAUGUCAGGUCAGUAUUUCCCUUACGUCCUGGGCUAGAAACACGAUACAAUGGCUAGUACAAUGCGCAGCGAAGCCGCGAGGUGAAGCAAAUCGCAUCAAAGCUAGUCCCAGUUCGGAUUGGAGGCUGAAACUCGCCUCAUGAAGUCGG